AGAUGCUUGUAUCUGGGACCCCCUGCCAUUUCUCAGGACACCCUCCUGCUCCUAGCUGGGAGAUCCAGCAUCCUCAUGAAUGCGGGGCCCAAGGCCACCAACUGUUCCACCUGCUGUCAGCCAGGCCUGUUGCCCCAGCCCUACACCCACAGCUCACCCAGCAGGGACUGGAGUGUGCUGCUGCACUGCUGGAGCCGGUCGCCCGGGUCGGAGGUUGGGAAGAAGACAGCCGCUGGCAGGCCACUGGUUGGGGGGUCCAGCCGGAAGCCCACAGCGGUGAGGAGGGCCUGCCAGCCAGGGAUGCCGCCCACUUUGUUCUCCACACUCUGCUGGGAUGUGUACAUGGCAUUGCGCUGCCCAUUCUGGAUGCGCUGCAGGGAUUUCUCCACCUGAGGGGGAAUUGGGGUAAACACUGGGAUGCCGGAGCUCAGGCAUCCCAGACAGGAGGAAGUGUGUACUCACACCAGCCAGGAGGAAACAAGCCUGCCUGGGAGGACAGACGAUCAGCCCUGGCUGUCCCUCAGGAGCGGGGGGCCUCCAAGGCACACUGCCCACUGGGUCAAGGAGUAUCCAGGAGGAGUUAGAAGCAUGACCCAUCUGCCUGGCACCAGCACCUGGGGCUGCCAGGCAGCCACCCCUGCAGCUGUGUUGACAGGACCUGGCAGAGGGACUGACCCACCUUUGGAAAAUGACACCAGCAAUAUCAGGAUGUGUCAACUGGAUUUAUGCUAAGAAAAUAGGAUUUUUGGUGUUCCUCUGUUUCCCAAAGUUUGAGACACUUUCAGACACUCUGCUUUGCGGUUGUGGCCGAUGUUACCCAUGGGUGGGACUUUUGCUUUGCUCUAGAUUUUUGUAACACCCUGGGGAGUUUCAGGGGCCAAUGCUGAGAGAAGACCACAGGCUGACACAUCAUGAGGUAUGUUGGUAAAACAGUCCCGGCUGGCCGAGAGGCCACUGAGGGAACAGGCCCAGGGUUUGGUUUGUACUCUGUGAGUCUUGGCCUGGCAGGGUUUCCUGCAAAGCAGAGUCCUCUGAGUGGGACCCCAGGGGAAGCAGGUUGUUGCCUGGAGCUGAGGGGCAGCUCUGUAUUCAGGAGGGGUGCCUGCCUUCCCAUCUCCCCUGUGACCAGAUGUCACAGAAACAUUCUCUCUUUACUCCCUAGACCCUCUGGGCAGGUCCACUAAGAGCAUGUAUUCUAGAACAUGCAGGGCUUGAAGCUUCACAAGAUAUUCAGUGCACUCCUUACAGAUCCUGUCAAAUGUGGACCGGGUGGUGUCAUCGCACCACCAUCAUCCCCUUGUUACCCCUGAGAACACAGCUUCAGAGAGGGUAAGUAACCUAUCUCAGGCCACACAGCCAGGACAUGGAGUAGAUCCAUCCUAAGUCUUUCUACCACACACUCCUUUCUACAGUCAUGGGUUAAAUGAGGGUGCCAUGGAAUGGGUCAUCCAGUGUACACUGACAUCAGGAGGAGUUUCACAUUCAUACACUCAUGGCAAAUGGUUCUGUUGCUCCCUGGUCCAAAGAUGAUCUUAAUAGUAGGAAAAACUCAUUUGGCAGAAGCAAGACUCAGCACACAGGCUCUCUCCCUGAGUCUUCUGUGGCUGGCCUUGCCCUGCCCUCCCCUCCCCAACCCCACUGGCAGAAUAAAGUCGGGGGGCUGUGAGGACUGAGCCCCAGGCCUUGACAGGCACCCGCAGCCAGCCGAACUCCCACCUGCCCAGUUGGAGGGGUGCGAGAAGGCCUUGCUGCUCUGCACCACCUUCAUGGCCUCCCCCAGGGCGGCGCUGGCUUUCAGGCCGUUCAGCAGGGAUGAGUAGAAGGCAUGGAUGAACAUCUUAGAAGCAGCCACUGGCACAGGCCACAGAGACACGAGGACACACUGAGCGCCGGCAGCCAGGAAGGCCCUUGUCAGCGCGAUGACCCCGUCGGCUGUGACUUUGCUGUUGGACUCCUGGGAGGAGCCAAGCACCACCAGCUUCACAGGCAGCUGCAGGUCCAGGACGUCGGCGGCAGUGCCUAACUUACUGAGAAUCAUGCCUGCUGUGAUGAGCCCUUGGAAACCAUCAGGACUGGAUGGUAGGGGUCCUGAGAGGAUUGGGGGAGGAGGCCUUGAUAUGACAGAGUGGACAGAGGCCGUGGAACCCAGGACAGCCAGCCUGCUCCACAAUCCUCAUCCCCACAGACCUUCAUGUGUGGCUCCUAAAUAAGAGGAAACCCACUCCUGAUAAGUCAGGGGCUUUGAAAAGUGAUUUUGUUUAAAUGGUGCAAACAAGCAAGCCAAUCUUGGGGAGACAGGGCUAAACUUAAGUCCUUUAAGAAGCUCUACAUACUGACAAGAUUCUAGUUCCCUUCCACCUUAUAUGCUGCAAAGUAAAAAGUAUCACUGAAUGAGAAAAUCAGCAUAAAGAAGCCCAAUAAUGUCUGCCUGAGUUUCCCCUAUGAUGACUUUUGGUACUUUUUGGGAAACAUUAAGUAUGAAGUUAUUUCAAAAUAAUUUUUUGGUGCCUCUGCUUGGUGAUGCCUUAAACUCUGGGUAAGAGAAACACCAGGUGCCUGUCAGGAGAUGGCCUUUUCCAGGUUUCUGGUUAAGCUACAAACAGCUAACUGGCUGCUGUCAUCAAAAUAAAAGCUUUCUGAAGGUGGAGGCAUCUGAUACCCAGAGUGCUGCUAUCAGCCGGCACGGUGGGCCGCUGGGUGGCAGGAGCGUCGAGAAGGCCAGCUCGCUUCCUAUCUGGGAUUCAGAAUCAGCUAUGGAAACUUGAGAGACCUAGAGAAAAUAACUUCUUUCACUUUGAACUGAUUCUUUGCUUCAUAAGAAAAGUAUUAUCCAGCCACAAAAAUGGUCAAAAUUCAGAUCUACAAAAGCCUGUCAGGCAGAAACUGACCCCACUUAGGCCACGCCAAUGAGCAAGUCAUCAAAGCAGCCAAGACAGGUCCUGUGGGGGCCACCCAUGCACAGGGCCCAGCCUCGGGUCCUAACCCCGCCUAUGCUUUCCGCCACCAUAAAGAGGCCCAUCUGGGUAAGACCUGUCCCGCCUGCUGUGGGGUAUUAGGGCAGAUGGGGUCUGAGGGGUCUGAGGGCUCUGAGAGCAGCUGGCAGCUCAAGGACAUCCGGAGUUGGAGGAUGGAGCAAUGCAGGCCCUUGUGGUAAAGACAGUCCUGCAGCCGCGCAGGCAGGGAUGCUGCAAGUGGAGUGCCAGGCGGGUGCGGAGCCCUGUGGGACUGUGGAGGGGUCAGAGGGAAGCCAGGAUUUUGGGGUCUCUGAGAGUUUGGAGAAGGGGAAGAAGAUUAAAGCUUGUUUCAAAAGUUUCUAAUCAGGUGGGCAGGGCCAAGGGUGGCUGUGGGGUGAGACCCAUGACUCAGGGUGGCCCACUGUUACUCUAUUGAUUUUUGGGCGUUUUUUUCCAAAUUGAUUAUUCUUGCUGAAUGAGACCUGAGUCCUUGACUGUCCCCUUAAAGCCACCUGACUUGUUUUCAGUUCCACUGGCCUGUCGGGCUGUUUUCUACUCAACUCCACUCUUGCUUGUCUGCCCUCCCUGCCUGGGGCCCAGCCAGCAGUCAGCUCAAGGGCCAGAUGAAUUGGGUGGCUGUGCUCUGCCCACUGGGCAUCGUGUGGAUGGUGGGUGACCAGCCCCCUCAGGUGCUCAGCCAGGCCUCAAGCCUUGCUGUGUACCUCAGAGCAGCUCCGUACCCUGAUGUCACAGCAAAGAAACUUAGACAUGACACAAACUGUGGCUUCCCAAGGCAGCAAAGAAUGGCCAGGGGUCAUGAGGGCCGUGCCCCACUUUUGGACAGACCUACUCUAAAGUCACGCUACCUGCGUGCAAAUCAUAAAAUCAACACUUUUGAGGAGAUCACAGCUAUGCCUUCGUAACACAGCCCAGUCCGACCAGAUAGACGGUGCCUCGUGACCCGAAAACAAGCCCCCGGCCCCCCACCAUGUGUGUGAGCCUUACCUUGGACUGCACGCUGAGGGAGCGGAUGGAAGGGACAGCAAGGAGGCCGAAGCGCUCGUAGAGGUACUCAUUGGAGGAGCUUCCCUUCAGGAGGGCGAAAGGAAUGAGGUAGAGCUCCCCCUCCAGAACCAGGAUGAGCUGCCGGUGCCGGCCCACGGGGCCGCUGGAGUGCAUCAGGCCCUAUGGAGCAAGCACGGAGAGGCUGACAUGGGUGGCCCAGCAGGCAGGGGUUUCAGGCACCAGGACAACCCUGAGCCCUAGCCUGGAUGACACAAGCACGAGCAGGUGAGGCCUGUGGGGGUGUGGGGCGCCAUGGGGCAUGGGCCGAGUUGCAGCCCUGCAGGAGCGGCACCAACUGGCAUGCUCGCUUGUGGACUGGCAAGGGCUGGCCUGGCAGCAUCCAUCUGCCUCACAGUCCUGAGAAGGUUAGAGGACAGUUUCUUGAAGUUCACAAGAACCUGAAGUGGGUUGGAGACCGGUCUGUACCGCACAGGCACCCUGAGAAGGGGUGGGAAUGGCCCCUCUCAAAACAAGAUCUGUUUUCCAUUUCAAUGGACAAGAGGCUAGAAAAUCACAGUGAGGACGGGAGGUCUGGGGGCUGGCAUGACAGCCCCUGUAGAAGGGGAUGGGCUGGGUUCUAGGAUCUUCCGUGACCUCCUCUGAGAAAGAGUGGCCCCUUGGCUCUGGGCUUGGGAGGUGCCGUCCCCACUUGUUCCCUCUGGGGAUGUCAGGGGACCCAAUGCAUGGAUGACUCCCAUCCCUCUUGAAAGGCCGAGCAUGAGGACUCGAGGCAGGGUGUGCACAGGGCCACAGCGGACACAGCCUCAUUCCUGUUCAUUGCAGAACAAGGCUAAGGGCGCGGGCAUCUUAAUGAGAGCAGCAGGCAACAAUCCUGGAAGCUGGGUCCACACAGACUGCGGUGAACAAAGAGGUGGCGUGGAAGCUGCUGCUGCAGCCCAGAGCCUGCCAAGAAGGUCCCAGGUCCACAGGGCCUGCGCAACACUGGGUGCCAGGGGUGGGGCUGGCCUGCCCCCCAACCCCAUCUGCUGAGGAGUGGCUGACAAGCGGACACCCACCAGGGUGCCACUCGCUUGUGCCUGGGGAAGCAAAUGUGCUCGCUUGACCCGUCUGAUGUGCUGCCGUGGGCACUUGACUGAGAGUGGCAGAGCACUAGGCUAACCCAAAGUGACACAUGCCUGGCGGGAUGUUCAGUCUCUG
rnacentral:lncRNA from 1 species